rnacentral:rRNA from 1 species
GACGAACGCUAGCGAUAGGCUUAACACAUGCAAGUCGAGGGGCAGCGAGGGUAGCAAUACCUGUCGGCGACCGGCGCACGGGUGAGUAACGCGUAUGUAACCUGCCCGCAACAGGGGGAUAACCCGGCGAAAGUCGGACUAAUACCGCAUAAAACAGGGGUCCCGCAUGGGAAUAUUUGUUAAAGAUUUAUCGGUUGCGGAUGGGCAUGCGUACCAUUAGGUAGUUGGUGAGGUAACGGCUCACCAAGCCUUCGAUGGUUAGGGGUUCUGAGAGGAAGGUCCCCCACACUGGUACUGAGACACGGACCAGACUCCUACGGGAGGCAGCAGUGAGGAAUAUUGAUCAAUGGGCGAGAGCCUGAACCAGCCAAGUCGCGUGAAGGAUGACUGCCCUAUGGGUUGUAAACUUCUUUUACAAGGGAAUAAAAUGAGAUACGUGUAUUUUAUUGCAUGUACCUUGGGAAUAAGCAUCGGCUAACUCCGUG